AACUUAAUAGAAGAACAGGAAAAAUUAUUAAAAUGGAUGAUUUUUCAAUAUUUUAAUAACUCUUACUAGUCGAAUUUUAUUUCUUUCACUUUAGUGAAUUCAUUAAAGAAAAUUUCUAUCAUUUUGGCCUUAUCCUUUUUUAGUGCACUUAAUCCAAAACAAAUGUCUUUAUAAUCCCUUUUUCAGAUUCAGUAAUUAAAAUUAAUAUCAUUUCCUUACAUCCACCCG
rnacentral:lncRNA from 1 species